UGAUCCCGAUUUGCGUGGCAAAUGAAUGGUUGAUCUUGAAUUUUCUCCACGUAUGUGGAGG
rnacentral:sRNA from 1 species